GAGACAACUCAGGCUCGGGCUGGGGCAGGCUGCUGGUUAAACACCAGACAAUACCUGUGGGGACUCCCUCGGCCAGCCAGUCGUGCUCAGGAACCCAACCCGAUCGUGUCAUGCAGGGAUCGACACGGAUCUGUGCUGACUUCUCUCUAAUGAGAGCAGGAUCGGGGCCUCGAGAUAUUCCCGGACCCGUGUCACACUUGUUAGGGGUAGAAACACCUUUGGGGGCCGCUCCUCAGAUGGUGGAAAUGGUCAGAGCUGAAGUCAAUGUCAAUUCACACCCGCUCAGGAUCGCCCGCUCCUUUCCUUUCGUCUUUUUGCAGAGCGAUCAGAGCAGCCAAAGGGGGGGGGCGGUACCCAAACGCCUUAAAAUGCAGCCCUGUUAGCAAAAGAGCAUCCAGUAACUCGUGCGGAUUAUUGUCUAGCUGCGGUAAAAAAAAAAACAACAACAAACCAAACCCAUCCCCAGCAUUAAGUGUAAUUCACAGCUGCUUGGAUGCAAAUCCCACUAGUGUUGAGGAAGAGGAGAGAGAGAUUUAGGAGCUGAACUGUCCAGAACCGAAGAGAUGCCCUUGGAAUGAGGUUACGGAGCCAGCAUCAGCCGUGGCUGAGCAGAGUGGAAAACAACGCAAAUCAGCCUCUUAGGUGAAAAGACACUUCUAAUUCUAAACUCAAUCAGGUGUCUGGAAAAUGGAGCUACAUUUUUUUCCAUCUUUGUACAUCAUCUCCAGCCAUGUAAGCAGGCUGAGAAUAUGGAUCCUGGAGACGUCAGCAAGAGAUUUCAUUAGAAGAGACGCCAAGUGCUUGGAAAUGGGAAAUGUAUUCUAUUCUAAACAUCGGCUGCACUGAGGCUGACCCUAAGACAGCACAAAUUGGCUGGAAAGACAAAGAAAGCUGAAAAUGAAAACUCUGUUCAUAUGUAACAGACUCCAUUUAUUGCAACAAUAUCUGCUUUAAAAGUCUCCUGUAGUUUUUUUUAACGUUCAGAAUGGCAAGAACUCUUAACUCUGAAUAGUCAAUAUUUAUCUCUGCUGAUGUGCAGAAGCUUGCUAC